GCUUCCUGUGCGCGGCCGAGCCCGGGCCCAGCGCCGCCUGCAGCCUCGGGAAGGGAGCGGAUAGCGGAGCCCCGAGCCGCCCGCAGAGCAAGCGCGGGGAACCAAGGAGACGCUCCUGGCACUGCAGAUAACUUGUCUGCAUUUCAAGAACAACCUACCAGAGACCUUACCUGUCACCUUGGCUCUCCCACCCAAUGGAGAUGGCUCUAAUGAGGGAUUCCUCCUGACCAGUCAUUACAAAAAUUCUUGGAGCAUGAGCAAGACUGAGUCUGUGUUUGGAUUGGAGGAAGGGGUAAGUAACAAGGUAUAUAUAUGUAUAUGUGUGUGUGUGUGUGUGUGUGUGUGUGUGUGUGUGUGCGCGCGCGUUUGUGUUUAAGUUACAAACUAAGGAUGGUUUUAAAAAAUUGCAAAAUGUUAAGAGAUUUAUCUAGGAUCUGACCCACUUCCCCAGAAAUUUACGGAAUUCAAGACCAAGCCUUUCGUAUUCACUGUCAUCAGUUAGAUGGACCCAGUAGCUAAAAAAUUAAGGAGAAAAAAAAUAGAGGAAUAUGAGGGAAAAAGUCAAGUCAGAGGACUGAAGAAUAUAUACAGAACAUAGAAUAUUAGAAAUUUUCUGAAAAUAGAUGAUAGCAAAUACCUCAAGAAAGUGAGGAAACGUGAAAAGGGAGCUUAAAGAAAAAUAAUAGAGUCCAUACAUGGGACACAAGCACAAAAAGCUGACUGAGCAUGUGGUUCUCUACUAAUAAUAAC
rnacentral:lncRNA from 10 species